rnacentral:rRNA from 1 species
UACGUAGGGCGCAAGCGUUAAUCGGAAUUACUGGGCGUAAAGCGUGCGCAGGCGGUUGUGCAAGACCGAUGUGAAAUCCCCGGGCUUAACCUGGGAAUGGCAUUGGUGACUGCACGGCUAGAGUGUGUCAGAGGGGGGGUAGAAUUCCACGUGUAGCAGUGAAAUGCGUAGAGAUGUGGAGGAAUACCGAUGGCGAAGGCAGCCCCCUGGGAUAACACUGACGCUCAUGCACGAAAGCGUGGGGAGCAAACAGG